GAUUAACGCUGGCGGCGUGCAUAACACAUGCAAGUCGAACGAUGAAACUUAACUGAUUUCUUCGGAAUGAUUUUAAGUGGAUUAGUGGCGGACGGGUGAGUAACGCGUGAGUAACCUGCCUUGGAGAAGGGGAUAGCCUUUGGAAACGAAGAAUAAUACCCUAUGAUAUGAUAAUAUCUCAUGAUAUUAUCAUCAAAGAUUUAUCGCUCUAAGAUGGACUUGCGUCUGAUUAGUUAGUUGGUGAGGUAACAGCUCACCAAGGCAGCGAUCAGUAGCCGGCUUGAGAGAGUGGACGGCCACAUUGGGACUGAGACACGGCCCAGACUCCUACGGGAGGCAGCAGUGGGGAAUUUUGCACAAUGGGGGAAACCCUGAUGCAGCGACGCCGCGUGAUUUAGAAGGCCUUCGGGUUGUAAAAAUCUUUUGUAUGGGAAGAAAAUGACAGUACCAUACGAAUAAGGACCGGCUAAUUACGU
rnacentral:rRNA from 1 species